AGUAACGGCGAGUGAAGCGGCAAAAGCUCAAAUUUGAAAUCUGGUACCUUUGGUGCCCGAGUUGUAAUUUGAAGAUAGUUUUCUGGUGCUGGCCCUUGUCUAUGUUCCUUGGAACAGGACGUCACAGAGGGUGAGAAUCCCGUCUGGCGGGGUGUCCAGUGCUUUGUAGAUUUCUAUCGACGAGUCGAGUUGUUUGGGAAUGCAGCUCUAAGUGGGUGGUAAAUUCCAUCUAAAGCUAAAUAUUGGCGAGAGACCGAUAGCGAACAAGUACAGUGAUGGAAAGAUGAAAAGAACUUUGAAAAGAGAGUGAAAAAGUACGUGAAAUUGUUGAAAGGGAAGGGUAUUAGAUCAGACUUGGUGUUUUGUGAUUAUCUUCCCUUCUUGGGUUGUGCACUCGCAUUUCACUGGGCCAGCAUCGGUUCGGGUGGUAAGAUAAUGACAUUGGAACGUGGCACUACCUUCGGGUGGUG
rnacentral:rRNA from 1 species